UCACAAGCUUUCAGAAAAAAGCCAUCAGCCUUUCUAAGCCUUUAGCCUUUCUAUCCUUUUGUAUCAGUACUAUCAGUACUAUUCCCUUCCCCUUCCUUGUAUCUUAAAUCUUGCCUCGCAUCAAGGCAGCUUUGUAUCAUAUCCGCUUGAAUCAAUAAUAUCAAAGCCAUCUCUGUACAGGAAAACAAAGGGAGGGCUUUACUCUUUAGAGCCAGAGUGGAGCUGAGAAGAGAUUGCCGACUGUGUGCGAGAGAUUGACGAAUGGAGCGUAGGAGAGAGGCCGGAGGUUAGAGUUAGCUGGUGGUCAAGCGGGCGAGCUUGUAGCAGUGUCCUGCGCCUCCUAGGCUUCUACUUCUUGGCUGCCAGAGGAAAUUGCAGCACAUUUUAGAGAGUGAUUUUGGUAAUUUGCUGAGAGAGAUUGUUUUGUAUUUUUUUUUUCAAAACAAAGAAAAAGUGUUAUUUGCUUCUUCUAUUGAUUUUUCUGUGCGGGAGUUAUAGAGUCUCAAAUGGAGAGAUUGCUCUCUCUCUUUUACAAACUUUUUGUGUUCCUAGGCAUCUGACGGUUGGUUUUUCUAUGUGAGGGUUCUUUAAUCUAUCGAAGGAACUGAUAAAUCACUGUAUUUAUUUUUCUUUAGCAAAAUCUUGUGUUCCUGGGCCUUACGGUUGAUUUAUCCAUGGGAUUUAGAGUUAA